CCUACGGGAGGCAGCAGUGGGGAAUAUUGCACAAUGGGGGGAACCCUGAUGCAGCAAUGCCGCGUGGGUGAAGAAGCACUCCGGUGCGGAAAGCCCUGUCAGCAGGGAAGAAAAUGACAGUACCUGACCAAGAAGCCCCGGCUAACUACGUGCCAGCAGCCGCGGUAAUACGUAGGGGGCAAGCGUUAUCCGGAUUUACUGGGUGUAAAGGGAGCGCAGGGGGUAUGGCAAGUCAGCGGUCAAAGCCCGGGGCCAAACCCCGGCCCGCCGUUGAAACUGGCAGUCUCGAGUUGGAGAGAAGUAUGCGGAAUGCGUGGUGUAGCGGUGAAAUGCAUAGAUAUCGCGCAGAACUCCGAUUGCGAAGGCAGCAUGCCGGCUCCACACUGACGCUGAGGCACGAAAGCGUGGGUAUCGAACAGGAUUAGAUACCCGUGUAGUC
rnacentral:rRNA from 1 species